rnacentral:rRNA from 1 species
CGCGUAGGCUGUCCUGUAAGCGGUGUGUGAAAGCCCGGGGCUCAACCCCGGAACUGCAUACCGAACUGCAGGGCUAGAGGACGAGAGGGGAGUAUGGAACUCUAGGUGGAGCGGUGAAAUGCGUAGAUAUCUAGAGGAACGCCGGUGGCGAAAGCGAUACUCUGGCUCGUCCCUGACGCUGAGGCGCGAAAGCGUGGGUAGCAAACAGGAUUAGAUACCCUGGUAGUCC